AUCUUAGUCAAAUAAAUCUCUCUCAAUCCCAUAACCAUACAGUUUCUUCCAUAUCUCCAUCUUCCUUAAAAAUCUCCAACCAAAACCCAUUCUUCUCCUUAUAACUUCCUCCACAACGCAGCUUUCUUUUGUAUCUGCUGUUAUUUUCGUCUCCUCCACCAAAAAGUAUAUUCUUCUCCUCAAGUUCAUUAAUAUGAAAACCUCAAUUCGUUGAUUUCAUGGCCAAAUUCUUGACAUCACAGCAUUGAGAGGAGAAAACCGAGAGAGCUGUGGAAUUAAUUCUUCUUGUUAUUUUUCUUCUUCUCAAAGUUGAGAGGAAGCCGAAAUCGAGUAGCCUGUGAAACAUCCAUCUCCCCUGCAAAUCUCAAUUUGUUCUCUUUGUUUCUAAAGGGUGAGCUUGUGCACGUUGGUUGCGAUUGGAAUAGGAGGUGAUUGAGGAGUAAGCUUGUGAGAUUGAGCGACGACGGGCGUGGAGGAUGUUGAGCAGAAUUCAUGGAUUAUUUAUGUUUGGCUUAAUAUUGUUGGAUAUGUCGUGUCUUCAUACUCGACAUUUUCCGUGUCUUGAACGCUUCCGCUAGGUGUCUUUUCUUUAAAAUUGUUUUAGUAUUGAGAACCUAACUCUUUUCAAAAUUGUCUACUUUCUAGUCUUUAUUUCUUAGAAUUGGUACUUUGUUGAAAUGAUACUAUGUUGUUUUCUAAGUUAUUUCAAUUAUUUA